rnacentral:lncRNA from 1 species
GAGAAAAGAGAAGACUUUUAUCCAUUGUUGUUGUUGGAUCAGAAAUUCAGAAGGGAGGAAAAGCUUUUCCGUAUCGGUUAAUGUUGGAGAAAAGUCCAACAAGAUCUUGCUUGUACGGUAAAUAUGAUUUUCUCUUGUCUUCUUCCUUGAUUGCUUUGUUCCUCAAGUAAAACUUCUCAUGUGCAGAUACCUUCUCUUUCUCCUUCUUCUUCACCGUCGUCGUCUCCUUGUUCUUCGAAGAUUCGUUAAUGGAGCUCGGAUUCAGGAAUUUGAGCGACUGUUUCCCGUCGCUGUUACUUCUCUUUAGCAGAUCUCUGAUUCGCCACCGUCUCUUC